UAGAGUAGUAAAAUCGCGUUAAGUGCUAUUCCAUGGGAAGUUGGGAAUAGACGAACACAUUAGUGGCGGUGGUUUUGCGCGUCCGCUA
rnacentral:ncRNA from 1 species